rnacentral:rRNA from 1 species
CGAGAAGCGAGCCUGCGAAGGCAAGCGGAUCUCUUAAAGCUGUUCUCAGCUCGGACUGCAGUCUGCAACUCGACUGCACGAAGCUGGAAUCGCUAGUAAUCGCGGAUCAGCACGCCGCGGUGAAUACGUUCCCGGGCCUUGUACACACCGCCCGUCACACCAUGAGAGUCGGGAACACCCGAAGUCCGUAGCCUAACUGCAAAGGGGGCGCGGCCGAAGGUGGGUUCGAUAAUUGGGGUGAAGUCGUAACAAGGUAAC